rnacentral:lncRNA from 1 species
AUAUUACCAGUGGUGUGGCAGGCAGCAAAGUCCGAAGUCAAAGAUACUGAAAGUAAAAGAACAUGCUAGCUGGGCUGAUGGUAGCUGAAGUUCCAAAGAUCUGGAGGAUUCCAGGUUGAGCAAGACUGGUAAACCUAAUGAUGAAUGGAUGUUUAAGGCAGCUUCCUAUAGAUUUACCAGUUUAUCUAGCUGCUAGGAAUGGGGGAGAAAUUCACUUAAAUUUGCAUUUACUGGCAAAUGUACCUACUUCACACUUUCUGAAAUUAUCUGAGAAACAAAGCAUCCUGAAUUUGCUUCUGCCCAUAUUUAAUGAAGGUCAUAUUUUUGUAAUAGCUGCAUAAAAUGGGCCAUAUGUGAAAUUUGCUGCCUUGCUGAUUUUAAUUUUCCAUUAAAUCCAAUUCCAAUUUACAUCUCCCCCAAGUAUAAUCUCUGCUUAAGUAAACUUCCCCUAUUUCUUAAGCCCUUUAUGAAGAAAAUCGAGCUGUCUCUUCACUCGGUGCCAAUAGUGACAGUAAGGUGACCAUUGUGUGUUUUUCCAGGACUUCUUCAACAAAUAGGCGUUGGCCAUUUUUAUCUCAAGAAUUCCCGCCCCCUGCCCCCCAAGUCUAAAUCUGCACCUAUUAGUAUUGCCACACCCAUCUUGUAUUUGAGGCAAAGACAAUAUUUACCAGUUCUUUUGUUAGUAAAGAUGUUAUUUGAGAUGUUCAUUCUGUAAUAAACAUCUCUAACUAUUUGGUCUAUUUCCCAGUCUUUAUCACUUUAAGCCUUGCUGCAUGUCUGUACUGUAUCUGUGGGAUGUUUAAACUCUAAGCAUCCAAUGUGUUUCAAUGCCAGUCAUACCUAUUUGGAAGAACUCCGAGACUCGAAACUCCAUUUCCCCCCUAAUCCUAGCUGUUGGAGGGCUUACUACUUAUCAGCCUUCUUCCUCCUCCAAAUCACCAUCAUUGUCUUCUUUGUCUAGGCCCUCAGCCCUUAUUCCUUCAGGUAGUUCCAACUGCAGAAUCUAUACUUGGUUGCUGUGAGUGGCACCUUUGUGGGGCACCACUAAAUGAAAGAGAAAUCCCUAGUAAUAUCAGAACCCCACUUCCUGGAGCUUUAAAGUACCGUAUUUUUUGCUCUAUAAGACUCACUUUUUCCCUUCUAAAAAGUAAGGGGAAAUGUGUGUGCGUCCUAUGGAGCGAAUGCAGGCUGCACAGCUAUGCCAGAAGCCAGAACAGCAAGAGGGAUUGCUGCUUUCACUGCGCAGCGAUCCCUCUUGCUGUUCUGGCUUCUGAGAUUCAGAAUAUUUUGUUUCUUGUUUUUCUCUUCCAAAAGCUUGGUGCGUCUUGUGGUCUGGUGCGUCUUAUAGAGCGAAAAAUACGGUAAUUGACAUCUGUAAUGUUUCUGGGGCUAUGUCUGGGGCAGUUUCAUGUUUUUUCCUAUUCUGGUUUUACCCCCUACUCCCAGCUUCAUUUUUUAUGAGGUGGCACAGCAGUCUAUUAAUUCUUGUUGGAAAGUCUUAAACUUCUGUGCCACCUCCUCCUUCAUAGCUGAUUUCCAGGCCGCUGAGGUUACUGGCGUGUCCUCAUUCAUUUCUUGUGGCUGGUCCAGCUGGGUGUUCUGAUGCCAUUUUAGAUGCUGCGCCAUCACCCUCAGGUCCCAAGUGACAUUCUUUGUAUAUCAUCGCAAAAUGGACUCGAAUGUUAUGCUCCUUAGAUCUCCUUGGUCCCUACAGCAUACCCCAUUCUAGAGACAAGUUUCAGGGAUGAUUUUCAUAAACAAGGGAGCUAUCAGCCUAUGCCGCCAUCUUGUUGGUGGUCAAGCUCCUUCCCUUUCAGGAGGAUUCUUUAAAUAAAUAAAAAUGUGGAAUUGUUGAGAAAAAAAGAUCUGAAAAAUGAGAAACUUAAGAGAAACAAAAAUUGACAAGUUCACCCAUACCUUCUAGCUAUUGAUUAAAAUGGACCAAAUCAAUGCACAAGCCAGGGAAAAGUAUAAAUUUCCUAUCUAAACAUAGCCUUUUCCUACCAGGUUUGAUUGUUGUGUAUGUAGAAGCUCAUUUUAACGCAUUACAUGAAGGUGAAGGGACACCCCAGGUGAAAUUAUGCUUGAAGGACAAAGCCCUAACCUGAUAUGCAAUGGUGUCAAUCCAUAAUGACCCAAGUUUGGUUGGUGAAGGAAGUAUGGGUUUAUGUUUGAGCAAAGGAAAUGAGUCAAAAUCAUUUUUUCCCUCUCUCUCUCUCUUUGUUAAAUGCCUAGGCAAAUUUCUUUGAGGUGGUUUCCCUUAAAUCUCUCUGUGUUUUUUCCCCCUUUUAAAUACAAAAAAUACCAUUUGAUUUUCCUGGACGCUAACCUAGACAGCUGAUAGAUUUUCCCUCAUUACAUGUGACAGGUAACCCCCCACCCCACCCCAAUCAAGUGGCCUUCAGAAUAUUUUUUCAUUUGCACAAGAGAGAGCCUAAGUUCACUUACACACACACACACUGUCCUGGAAGCAAGAGCACAUUCUAUCAUUCUCCAUUCCAGUACUCCUCCCCAGGGUAAAAUUGGACAGAGUACAUUUAAAUGUCACUCAAACUCCCCUCUUUUUUCCACUCAGUUUUAACCAUAUGGGUUAAUUUUACCCUCUCUCUAAUUCCCCUAUUAUUACACAUUCUUUAAGUAUUUUUUUAAGUAUUAUGAGGAGAUUCAACACAUGUUGAGGAUUUCCCCCCUCAAUUAAUGGGAGAAAGGGAGGCUGUUAGGUCUCUUUUUGCAAUGUUUCAGAGGGAGGGGUUCAAGAGAAAGGGUCUUUCAUUGGGGAUUGCAAAACAUCUCAUGGCAAAGGUCAGCAGGGUAACAGGAAAAUGAUUUGUGUUUGCUCUCUGAAGAGGUGCAUCAAGAAAGAGUCCAGAAAUGCUUGCAACUUUUGUUUAAAAUGCAAAAUAAAAUUGCAUACUCCACCAAACAUGCUGUUUUUAAAAGUAUGUCCGAUUCUUUUCCAUUAUUUGAUUAAAGUUCGUUGAGGCCCUAAAGCAGUAAUAAUUUUGAGGAUCCCUGCUCCACCAUUAAUAUUUAUUUUGCAUUUAGGAAACCCAGCCAGAUGGCAGAGUAUUAUUAGUAUUAGCAUUAUUAUUAUUAAUAAUAAUAAUAAUAAACAAAUUUCUUUCUCGCUUUUUGAUCCCCAAAAUGGAUACUCAAAACAGCUGGUAAAAUUUACAUUAUGUGGUGUGGCACUUUAGAGCAGCUGUGGGCAAAUUUCAGGUUUGUGGCAUCUACUUUGUAGUCUGUAGUUUGUCAUAUGGAGAAGCCAAGUGCAAAAUAUUGGUGGGACAGGAACCAAAAGCAAAAAAUUAAUAAUUGUGACACGGGGGAUGGAACCCAUGACCAACACAUCUGGCUGGUUAGAAUGCUCCUGUUGGAAGUUAAGGAAACACUGAAACAUCUGCUUGAGAUCCCUUUGGUUAAAACCAGUCCAUAUUCAUACGGACCUGGAAUAAACAGUUGGCAUGGCUUCUGGGCUCAAGUUCUUGCAUGGGGACUCAAUACCUAUCAGAUCUAGCCGUAGGACUGAUGCUAUGUUGUGUUGUGAUAAAAACAAACUGAAAAAUGUACCCACCCACCUACUAAUUUCUCUUUAUCUGGAAAGAGCUCAUAUCUAAAAACAGUUUUAGGGAUGGAGGAGGAAAAUCCUGGAAUUUUAACAUGAAUGGUUAAAUUUAAAGUGCAUCCUAUUGCAAUCUACUUAGUGAUAGUUCAGUGGGACUUACUUCCAGGAUUGCAGCAUUAGAUCUAUCAAUGGUUGGACGAAUGGUUAAUAAUCCUGCUCAUGGUUUCAUCCAGUGCUCAUUAUUUGCUUACUUUUCUGAAUAGCACCAAAUAACAGAUUAUAAUUAGGAUUUCCAUUUUUAUUCAUGGGUAUAAUAUACUGGUGAGGGGUGCAUGGUCAGAAGAAACAUUUCCUGAGAACCUAUCAGUGAAAAUUACUCCCCUUUUUGUCCUGUUACCCCUACAUGCUGUUGCUUCUCCCUCCCACCCUUUUCCUUUCCUCUUCCUGGGUUUGCCACAUAGGAAAUUCUAACCAACUGGGGAUCACAGAAUGACGUGGAUGACAUCGUGCAGGUCUUCAGCCAACCGUGUUUGGCUAUGCAACAUAAAACCAUCAGUGAGGACAAACAACAUUAACUGAGAGUGAAUGUAUUGCUUCCUGGAAUAGUCACACACAGAACCCCAAUGAGUCAAGGAUCGUUGCAAUGAAUGGGAUGUUUUCAUUAUACUAUUUAGCCAGGUUUGGCUAUGUGUCCGUAUUACUGAGGCCAAAUUAAGGGAAGGGAGAAAGAAAUGAGGGCAAUGUAGAUGAAUAGGAAGAGGGGGCAAGGGGGCAUUUUUUUCAACACUGCCCAAAUGUUUUCCCCAAAAAACUAAAUAGUUAUGGC